CUUCCCUCGCCAGGGGCGGCUCGGAGCAACGUGCGCGGCGGCGGCUGGGCCGAGCCGGGCCGCUCCUCCCCGCCGGGCAGGCAGCCCCGAGGAGCCCGCAGCGCCGCCGGCCCCGCCGCACGCCCCAGCCCCGGCACCACCUCCUACCUGCCCAGGGCCCGGCCCGGCGGCUGAGGCGGAAGCGGCGGCGGAAGCGCUACGGUGGCCGCAUGGGGCUGGGCGGAAGCGCUCGGGCAGGGGGCGGUGCGGCGGAGAGGAGCGGGCACCAUGUCGGGCCGAGAGGGCGGCAAGAAGAAGCCGCUGAAGCAGCCGAAGAAGCAGUCGAAGGACCUGGAUGAGACAGAUCUGGCAUUUAAACAAAAGCAGAAGGAGGAGCAGAAGAAACUUGAGGAGAUGAAAGCAAAGGCUGCUGGAAAAGGGCCCCUCGCCAGUGGUGGAAUAAAGAAGUCUGGCAAAAAGUAGUUUGACCAAACUGCAGGGUAAGAAGCAGUCGAGUUACUCAAUGGAUCUGCAGCUUCAGAGAGUCAUGAAAACUCACUGUCAUUUGGGAAACAUUGUACAUUUUGUUUAGUUGGAAUAAAUCGUUUUUGUUAAGAUGUGA